AGUGAACGCUGGCGGCGUGCUUAGCACAUGCAAGUCGAACGAGAACGGGUUAUAACUUGUUAUAACUGUCAGCUAAGUGGCGCACGGGUGAGUAAUGUAUAGGUAAUAUGCCUCUUACUAAGGGAUAACAAAUGGAAACGUUUGCUAAUACCUUAUACUCCUUAUUAACCUAAGUUAAUAAGGGAAAGAUUUAUUGGUAAGAGAUUAGCCUGUAUUGUAUCAGUUAGUUGGUGGGGUAAUGGCUUACCAAGACUAUGACACAUAACUGGUUUGAGAGGAUGAUCAGUCACACUGGAACUGAGACACGGUCCAGACUCCUACGGGAGGCAGCAGUGGGAAAUAUUGCACAAUGGACGAAAGUCUGAUGCAGCAACGCCGCGUGGAGGAUGACACAUUUCGGUGCGUAAACUCCUUUUAUAUGAGAAGAUAAUGACGGUAUUAUAUGAAUAAGCACCGGCUAACUCCGUGCCAGCAGCCGCCGUAA
rnacentral:rRNA from 1 species